UAAAAAAUCUACAGAGACUUUCAACAUAAUUAAGGUUAAAUUUACUUUGAAAUUCAUAAUGGCCAUAUAAAAGCAAACUGGUAAUAUUGUACAUCUGGAAAAUCACACUUUCAUGAAAUUCCUUGAGCCUUUUGUUAAGGCCUGCAUCAUUCCAAGCUGCAGAAACAUCUGAUGAAGGACCAUAGUCCAGAAGAGCUUCUCAAUUUCUAAACAUCUUUGUGCUGUGUGAAUAUGAAAAACACGUACAUUAUUCAAUUCUUCCCUCUGUAGCAGUUGUUUUUUAAAGCCAAAUUCCACGAUGGUGAAAGCAACAUGGACUGAAACUGAAACAUUUAUGCCUCAUCAUUAAGCCAAAGACAAUGUGCCACAUUCUGUUUCUGAUUCCAGCAAUGACUGCUGAAAGCUUAUAGGGGUAAAACACUGCAGAAUACCUAGCAGUGUAAGUAAAAAGAAUAAUAUUUAGGCACGGUCCUAUUCUUUUUGAAUAUUAAUUCAUCCGAACCAACAUACAGAGAACAAAUCUGAAACCACGUGAAAUGCUUUAUAAAGAAAAAAGAAGAUGCCCC